UUACUUUGGCAGAAGUAUGCGCUAAAUUUAGAAUUUAGUUAUAUAGGGUUAUCUAUAAGUAAAAG
rnacentral:tRNA from 1 species